UACGUAGGGUGCGAGCGUUAAUCGGAAUUACUGGGCGUAAAGCGUGCGCAGGCGGUUCGUGAUGUCUGGUGUGAAAGCCCCGGGCUUAACCUGGGAAUUGCAUUGGAAACUAGCGGGCUGGAGUACGGCAGAGGGAGGUGGAAUUCCACGUGUAGCAGUGAAAUGCGUAGAGAUGUGGAGGAACACCGAUGGCGAAGGCAGCCUCCUGGGCUAGUACUGACGCUCAUGCACGAAAGCGUGGGGAGCAAACAGG
rnacentral:rRNA from 1 species